rnacentral:rRNA from 1 species
UACGUAGGGUGCAAGCGUUAAUCGGAAUUACUGGGCGUAAAGUGUGCGCAGGUGGCCGCGCAAGUCGAGUGUGAAAGCCCCGAGCUUAACUUGGGAACUGCGCUCGAAACUACUUGGCUAGAGUGUGGCAGAGGGAGGUGGAAUUCCACGUGUAGCGGUGAAAUGCGUAGAGAUGUGGAGGAACACCGAUGGCGAAGGCAGCCUCCUGGGCCAACACUGACGCUCAUGCACGAAAGCGUGGGGAGCAAACAGG